rnacentral:piRNA from 1 species
UAGUAGAAUUGGCCCUCUGUCCUCCCUGCU